rnacentral:rRNA from 1 species
AUUGAACGCUGGCGGCAGGCCUAACACAUGCAAGUCGAACGAGUGGCGGACGGGUGAGUAAUGUCUGGGAAACUGCCUGAUGGAGGGGGAUAACUACUGGAAACGGUAGCUAAUACCGCAUACCAUAAGAUGUGGCCAGAUGGGAUUAGCUUGUUGGUGGGGUAACGGCUCACCAAGACGACGAUCUCUAGCUGGUAUGAGAGGAUGACCCGCCACACUGGAACGGAGACACGGUCCAGACUCCUACGGGAGGCAGCAUGGGGGAAUAUUGCCACAGUGGCGCAAGCCUAAUACAGCCAUGCCGCUUGUAUGAGGAAGGCCUUCGGGUUGUAAAGUACUUUCAGCGGUGAGGCGUUACCCGCAGAAGAAGCACCGGCUAACUCCGUGCCAGCAGCCGCUGUAAUAC